GAUGAACGCUAGCGGCAGGCCUAAUACAUGCAAGUCGGACGGGAUCCAUCGGAGAGCUUGCUCGAAGAUGGUGAGAGUGGCGCACGGGUGCGUAACGCGUGAGCAACCUACCUCUAUCAGGGGGAUAGCCUCUCGAAAGAGAGAUUAACACCGCAUACUAUAAUCUUCCGGCAUCGUUAGAUUAUUAAAUAUAUAUAGGAUAGAGAUGGGCUCGCGUGACAUUAGCUAGUUGGUAAGGUAACGGCUUACCAAGGCGACGAUGUCUAGGGGCUCUGAGAGGAGAAUCCCCCACACUGGUACUGAGACACGGACCAGACUCCUACGGGAGGCAGCAGUAAGGAAUAUUGGUCAAUGGGCGGAAGCCUGAACCAGCCAUGCCGCGUGCAGGACGACUGCCCUAUGGGUUGUAAACUGCUUUUGUCCAGGAAUAAACCUAAAUACGUGUAUUUAGCUGAAUGUACUGGAAGAAUAAGGAUCGGCUAACUCCGUGCCAGCCGCCGCCGUAAUAC
rnacentral:rRNA from 1 species